rnacentral:rRNA from 1 species
GGGGAAUAUUGCACAAUGGGCGCAAGCCUGAUGCAGCAACGCCGCGUGAGGGAUGACGGCCUUCGGGUUGUAAACCUUUUUUAGCAGGGAAGAAGCGUAAGCGACGGUACCUGCAGAAAAAGCACCGGCUAACUACGUGCCAGCAGCCGCGGUAAUACGUAGGGUGCAAGCGUUGUCCGGAAUUAUUGGGCGUAAAGAGCUCGUAGGCGGCUUGUCGCGUCUGCUGUGAAAACCCGGAGCUCAACUCCGGGCCUGCAGUGGGUACGGGCAGGCUAGAGUGCGGUAGGGGAGAUUGGAAUUCCUGGUGUAGCGGUGGAAUGCGCAGAUAUCAGGAGGAACACCGAUGGCGAAGGCAGAUCUCUGGGCCGCUACUGACGCUGAGGAGCGAAAGCAUGGGGAGCGAAC